AGAAGAGGUGAUUGGGUCCAGAAAUUUUACAGGCUAUUUGCCUGUAUUGCGCAUGUGCGGGGAAGCAGGCCCAGUAAAUUUGCUGUCAAGACAGCUGUA